rnacentral:misc_RNA from 1 species
GAUGAAGAACGUAGCGAAAUGCGAUAAGUAAUGUGAAUUGCAGAAUUCACUGAAUCUAAUCUUUGAACGCACAUUGCGCCCGCCAGUAUUCUGGCGGGCAUGCCUGUCCGAGCGUCAUUUCAACCCUCGAACCCCUCCGGGGGGUCGGCGUUGGGGAUCGGCCCUGCCUCUUGGCGGUGGCCGUCUCCGAAAUACAGUGGCGGUCUCGCCGCAGCCUCUCCUGCGCAGUAGUUUGCACACUCGCAUCGGGAGCGCGGCGCGUCCACAGCCGUUAAACACCCAACUUCUGAAAUGUUGACCUCGGAUCAGGUAGGAAUACCCGCUGAACUUAAGCAUAUCAAUAAGCGGAGGA